GAUGAACGCUGGCGGCGUGCCUAAUACAUGCAAGUCGAGCGAACAGACGAGGAGCUUGCUCCUCUGACGUUAGCGACGGACGGGUGAGUAACACGUGGAUAACCUACCUAUAAGACUGGGAUAACUUCGGGAAACCGGAGCUAAUACCGGAUAAUAUAUUGAACCGCAUGGUGCAAUAGUGAAAGACGGUUUUGCUGUCACUUAUAGAUGGAUCCGCGCCGCAUUAGCUAGUGGGUAAGGUAAGGGCUUACGAAGGCAAGGAUGCGUAGCCGACCUGAUAGGGUGAUCGCCCACCCUGGAACUGAGACACGCUCCAUACUCCUACGGGAGGCAGCAGUCGGGAAUCUUCCGCAAUGGGCGAAAGCCUGACGGAGCAACGCCGCGUGAGUGAUGAAGGUCUUCGGAUCGUAAAACUCUGUUAUUAGGGAAGAACAAAUGUGUAAGUAACUAUGCACGUCUUGACGGUACCUAAUCAGAAAGCCACGGCUAACUACGUG
rnacentral:rRNA from 1 species